AAGGCCUUAAGUUAAAAAUAAACUAAUAACCUUCAAAGCUAUAAAUAAAGGGCUCCCUUUAGGCCUUG
rnacentral:tRNA from 3 species